UACGUAGGGGCAAGCGUUGUCCGGAAUUAUUGGGCGUAAAGAGCGCGUAGGCGGUCCGGUAAGUCGGUUGUGAAAGUCGGGGGCUCAACCCUCGGAUGCCCGAUCGAUACUGUCGGGCUAGAGUCCGGAAGAGGCGAGUGGAAGUUCCUGGUGGUAGCGGUGGAAAUGACGCAGAGUAUCAGGAGGAACACCAAUGGCGAAGGCAGCUCGCUGGG
rnacentral:rRNA from 1 species